rnacentral:tRNA from 1 species
GAAUUAAAAUAAUUGAAGACGAACUUCUAAUUCAAUCUUUUAGCAGUGAAACUCUGUUAUUAAUUCU